rnacentral:rRNA from 1 species
AGAGUUUGAUCAUGGCUCAGGAUGCACGCUGGCGGCGUGCCUAAUACAUGCUAGUCGAACGCUUUGUGCUUAAUUGAAAUGACGAGCUUGCUCUGAUUUGAUUUUUUGAUUUCAAAGAGUGGCGCACGGGUGAGUAACACGUGGGUAACCUACCUCUUAGCAGGGGAUAACAUUUGGAAACAAGUGCUAAUACCGUAUAAUACCAACAACCGCAUGGUUGUUGGUUGAAAGAUGGUUCUGCUAUCACUAAGAGAUGGACCCGCGGUGCAUUAGCUAGUUGGUAAGGUAAUGGCUUACCAAGGCAAUGACGCAUAGCCGAGUUGAGAGACUGAUCGGCCACAAUGGGACUGAGACACGGCCCAUACUCCUACGGGAGGCAGCAGUAGGGAAUCUUCCACAAUGGGCGCAAGUCUGAUGGAGCAACGCCGCGUGUGUGAUGAAGGGUUUCGGCUCGUAAAACACUGUUAUAAGAGAAGAACGGCACUGAGAGUAACUGUUCAGUGUGUGACGGUAUCUUACCAGAAAGGAACGGCUAAAUACGUGCCAGCAGCCGCGGUAAUACGUAUGUUCCAAGCGUUAUCCGGAUUUAUUGGGCGUAAAGCGAGCGCAGACGGUUAUUUAAGUCUGAAGUGAAAGCCCUCAGCUCAACUGAGGAAUUGCUUUGGAAACUGGAUGACUUGAGUGCAGUAGAGGAAAGUGGAACUCCAUGUGUAGCGGUGAAAUGUGUAGAUAUAUGGAAGAACACCAGUGGCGAAGGCGGCUUUCUGGACUGUAACUGACGUUGAGGCUCGAAAGUGUGGGUAGCAAACAGGAUUAGGUACCCUGGUAGUCCACACCGUAAACGAUGAGUGCUAGAUGUUCGAGGGUUUCCGC